rnacentral:rRNA from 1 species
CAGUCGCCACGGUAAUACGAAGGGUGCAAGCGUUACUCGGAAUUACUGGGCGUAAAGCGUGCGUAGGUGGUGGUUUAAGUCCGUUGUGAAAGCCCUGGGCUCAACCUGGGAAUUGCAGUGGAUACUGGGUCACUAGAGUGUGGUAGAGGAUAGUGGAAUUUCCGGUGUAGCAGUGAAAUGCGUAGAGAUCGGAAGGAACAUCUGUGGCGAAGGCGACUAUCUGGGCCAACACUGACACUGAGGCACGAAAGCGUGGGGAGCAAACAGGAUUAGAGACCCCUGUAGUCCCUGUCUCUUAUAC